AGUAUAGUAAGAAAAAUACCAAGGUUAGAUAAGAAAACCCACUUACCUCUUAAUAGCUACUACACCACCUUGGUGCUUGACUCCCCCAAAGCACCCCUUGAGCUCUCUUCCUCUCUUGCAACAUUGGCACACACUUAUUAAUGCAAUAUUUACAUGAUACAUAAAUAUGAGAAUGCAUGCUUUGCUUGGUGUUGGGUAUAAAAUACCCCCAGCC
rnacentral:lncRNA from 1 species